rnacentral:rRNA from 1 species
UACGUAGGGGGCAAGCGUUAUCCGGAUUUACUGGGUGUAAAGGGAGCGUAGACGGCGAUGCAAGCCAGAUGUGAAAGCCCGGGGCUCAACCCCGGGACUGCAUUUGGAACUGUAUAGCUAGAGUGUCGGAGAGGCAGGCGGAAUUCCUAGUGUAGCGGUGAAAUGCGCGGAUAUUAGGAGGAACACCAGUGGCGAAGGCGGCCUGCUGGACGAUGACUGACGUUGAGGCUCGAAAGCGUGGGGAGCAAACAGG